UACGUAGGGGGCAAGCGUUGUCCGGAAUCAUUGGGCGUAAAGCGCGCGUAGGCGGCCCGGUAAGUCCGUUGUAAAAGUCGAAGGCUCAACCUUCGAAAGCCGAUGGAUACUGCCGGGCUAGAGUCCGGAAGAGGCGAGUGGAAUUCCUGGUGUAGCGGUGGAAUGCGCAGAUAUCAGGAGGAACACCGGUGGCGAAGGCGGGUCUCUGGGCCGAUACUGACGCUGAGGAGCGAAAGCGUGGGGAGCGAACAGG
rnacentral:rRNA from 1 species